rnacentral:rRNA from 1 species
CACGGUGGAUGCCCUGGCAGUCAGAGGCGAUGAAGGACGUGCUAAUCUGCGAUAAGCGUCGGUAAGGUGAUAUGAACCGUUAUAACCGGCGAUUUCCGAAUGGGGAAACCCAGUGUGUUUCGACACACUAUCAUUAACUGAAUCCAUAGGUUAAUGAGGCGAACCGGGGGAACUGAAACAUCUAAGUACCCCGAGGAAAAGAAAUCAACCGAGAUUCCCCCAGUAGCGGCGAGCGAACGGGGAGCAGCCCAGAGCCUGAAUCAGUGUGUGUGUUAGUGGAAGCGUCUGGAAAGGCGCGCGAUACAGGGUGACAGCCCCGUACACAAAAAUGCACAUGCUGUGAGCUCGAUGAGUAGGGCGGGACACGUGGUAUCCUGUCUGAAUAUGGGGGGACCAUCCUCCAAGGCUAAAUACUCCUGACUGACCGAUAGUGAACCAGUACCGUGAGGGAAAGGCGAAAAGAACCCCGGCGAGGGGAGUGAAAAAGAACCUGAAACCGUGUACGUACAAGCAGUGGGAGCACGCUUAGGCGUGUGACUGCGUACCUUUUGUAUAAUGGGUCAGCGACUUAUAUUCUGUAGCAAGGUUAACCGAAUAGGGGAGCCGAAGGGAAACCGAGUCUUAACUGGGCGUUAAGUUGCAGGGUAUAGACCCGAAACCCGGUGAUCUAGCCAUGGGCAGGUUGAAGGUUGGGUAACACUAACUGGAGGACCGAACCGACUAAUGUUGAAAAAUUAGCGGAUGACUUGUGGCUGGGGGUGAAAGGCCAAUCAAACCGGGAGAUAGCUGGUUCUCCCCGAAAGCUAUUUAGGUAGCGCCUCGUGAAUUCAUCUCCGGGGGUAGAGCACUGUUUCGGCAAGGGGGUCAUCCCGACUUACCAACCCGAUGCAAACUGCGAAUACCGGAGAAUGUUAUCACGGGAGACACACGGCGGGUGCUAACGUCCGUCGUGAAGAGGGAAACAACCCAGACCGCCAGCUAAGGUCCCAAAGUCAUGGUUAAGUGGGAAACGAUGUGGGAAGGCCCAGACAGCCAGGAUGUUGGCUUAGAAGCAGCCAUCAUUUAAAGAAAGCGUAAUAGCUCACUGGUCGAGUCGGCCUGCGCGGAAGAUGUAACGGGGCUAAACCAUGCACCGAAGCUGCGGCAGCGACGCUUAUGCGUUGUUGGGUAGGGGAGCGUUCUGUAAGCCUGUGAAGGUGUGCUGUGAGGCAUGCUGGAGGUAUCAGAAGUGCGAAUGCUGACAUAAGUAACGAUAAAGCGGGUGAAAAGCCCGCUCGCCGGAAGACCAAGGGUUCCUGUCCAACGUUAAUCGGGGCAGGGUGAGUCGACCCCUAAGGCGAGGCCGAAAGGCGUAGUCGAUGGGAAACAGGUUAAUAUUCCUGUACUUGGUGUUACUGCGAAGGGGGGACGGAGAAGGCUAUGUUGGCCGGGCGACGGUUGUCCCGGUUUAAGCGUGUAGGCUGGUUUUCCAGGCAAAUCCGGAAAAUCAAGGCUGAGGCGUGAUGACGAGGCACUACGGUGCUGAAGCAACAAAUGCCCUGCUUCCAGGAAAAGCCUCUAAGCAUCAGGUAACAUCAAAUCGUACCCCAAACCGACACAGGUGGUCAGGUAGAGAAUACCAAGGCGCUUGAGAGAACUCGGGUGAAGGAACUAGGCAAAAUGGUGCCGUAACUUCGGGAGAAGGCACGCUGAUAUGUAGGUGAAGUCCCUCGCGGAUGGAGCUGAAAUCAGUCGAAGAUACCAGCUGGCUGCAACUGUUUAUUAAAAACACAGCACUGUGCAAACACGAAAGUGGACGUAUACGGUGUGACGCCUGCCCGGUGCCGGAAGGUUAAUUGAUGGGGUCAGCGCAAGCGAAGCUCUUGAUCGAAGCCCCGGUAAACGGCGGCCGUAACUAUAACGGUCCUAAGGUAGCGAAAUUCCUUGUCGGGUAAGUUCCGACCUGCACGAAUGGCGUAAUGAUGGCCAGGCUGUCUCCACCCGAGACUCAGUGAAAUUGAACUCGCUGUGAAGAUGCAGUGUACCCGCGGCAAGACGGAAAGACCCCGUGAACCUUUACUAUAGCUUGACACUGAACAUUGAGCCUUGAUGUGUAGGAUAGGUGGGAGGCUUAGAAGUGUGGACGCCAGUCUGCAUGGAGCCGACCUUGAAAUACCACCCUUUAAUGUUUGAUGUUCUAACGUUGACCCGUAAUCCGGGUUGCGGACAGUGUCUGGUGGGUAGUUUGACUGGGGCGGUCUCCUCCUAAAGAGUAACGGAGGAGCACGAAGGUUGGCUAAUCCUGGUCGGACAUCAGGAGGUUAGUGCAAUGGCAUAAGCCAGCUUGACUGCGAGCGUGACGGCGCGAGCAGGUGCGAAAGCAGGUCAUAGUGAUCCGGUGGUUCUGAAUGGAAGGGCCAUCGCUCAACGGAUAAAAGGUACUCCGGGGAUAACAGGCUGAUACCGCCCAAGAGUUCAUAUCGACGGCGGUGUUUGGCACCUCGAUGUCGGCUCAUCACAUCCUGGGGCUGAAGUAGGUCCCAAGGGUAUGGCUGUUCGCCAUUUAAAGUGGUACGCGAGCUGGGUUUAGAACGUCGUGAGACAGUUCGGUCCCUAUCUGACGUGGGCGCUGGAGAACUGAGGGGGGCUGCUCCUAGUACGAGAGGACCGGAGUGGACGCAUCACUGGUGUUCGGGUUGUCAUGCCAAUGGCACUGCCCGGUAGCUAAAUGCGGAAGAGAUAAGUGCUGAAAGCAUCUAAGCACGAAACUUGCCCCGAGAUGAGUUCUCCCUGACCCUUUAAGGGUCCUGAAGGAACGUUGAAGACGACGACGUUGAUAGGCCGGGUGUGUAAGCGCAGCGAUGCGUUGAGCUAACCGGUACUAAUGAACCGUGAGGCUUAACCUU